rnacentral:lncRNA from 1 species
UAAAAAAUUAGUUAGCUAUUCAUUCGAUCGUUAUUUGGUUACAAACACGAAUUUAAAUAUAUCAAAUAUACUAUACUUGAACUUUAUUCCCUAUGAGAUGAUAACUCUCUCAUCACAAUUAUUACUUGUACAACGAAUCCGGACACUUGCGAGAUUUUGACGAACGCCACCCAAAGUUGUGCGACAAAUUUCAAAUAAGACCUUUCACAUUUCAAGCCAUGUCAAAUCCGGUAGGUUUUUUAAUCUCUUUAAACACUAAACACUUGAAUUACAAGAAGAAAUGAGAUGAGUCAGAAUAAAUCAGUAUCCUAAAAAUAAUUAGCAAGAGAGAGUUGUUGCUUAGAAGUUAAAUUGGCUGAAUAAUUGGAAAAUUAAAUAGUGAGAUAAAAGAUAAGUUUGACAACCAUUUGUCCGAUCACUGUCCUAUGUCCACAACAAAUUCACUGUAACAGCACAACUAUCUCGAGGUGACAUUCUUUAUUUCUCCAAAAACAACAAUUUCCUCAUCCGAAGGACUUUGCCACCGUCCUUUUCCAGUCAAUUCCUACAUAUGAAGAACCAACACACUCCCGUGAGUCGGUGUCCAAUGUGCGUUGGACAGGACACAACUCCAACACACUGCCGACGACAAGUAUCAGAACAUCAGGUGACAUGUCACUCUUUUUGUUUUCUACUGCCAGACAUGCCGACACUCAGGGAUAAGGUUGCUAAGAUGCCAGAGUGAAGAGAAAAAACCACAAAAAUUACUGAAAAAGAAAAACUGACCUAUCUAUCUAAAAAUAUCAAUGAUGUCGGAUCUAAGAAGCACAAUAAUGGUAUAUUUCUUCAUCUUCUCCCUUCCCGCAAAUUUUUUCUUCAAAGGCACUUUCACUACAGCCUGUGAUUGGCUUCUCUCUCCUCAAAAGCAAACCCUAGUUCUUAGACUUUCG